AGAAAUUUCUGCUAAUGCCGGAUGUGCCCGGAAGGGAAAAGAUUUAUCGGCUUAAGAUGAGCCCGCGUUGGAUUAGCUGGUUGGUGGGGUAAAGGCCUACCAAGGCGGCGAUCCAUAGCUGGUCUGAGAGGAUGAUCAGCCACACUGGGACUGAGACACGGCCCAGACUCCUACGGGAGGCAGCAGUGGGGAAUAUUGGACAAUGGGCGCAAGCCUGAUCCAGCCAUGCCGCGUGAGUGAUGAAGGCCUUAGGGUUGUAAAGCUCUUUCACCGGGGAAGAUAAUGACGGUACCCGGAGAAAAAGCCCCGGCUAACUUCGUGCCAGCAGCCGCGGUAAUACGAAGGGGGCUAGCGUUGUUCGGAAUUACUGGGCGUAAAGAGCACGUAGGCGGAAAAGUAAGUCAGGGGUGAAAUCCCGGGGCUCAACCCCGGAAUUGCCUUUGAUACUGUUUUUCUUGAGUGCAGAAGAGGUAAGUGGA
rnacentral:rRNA from 2 species